GACAACAAAUUGUCAAGACUUGGACUGUGGGUUUUCCCGAGAUGCAAGUAAAGUUGGAGCGGGCAAGGCGUGAAGGGCAUUCCCUUUGGCUCAACCACGCUCCUACGCUUCUCUGACGCACAACGACGCAACACAACAAACUUUUCAAAAGAAUAUGGUGGCUAUGGUGCAGACUUCUUGACUCCUGAGUGAUGCAAUGCUUUGAUUACCGACUGCAUUUCGCUAUUGGCCAAGCAGUUUGCCAUGUCCUGUGCCAAACAGACCAGCUUGUCCCUAAGAAAGCGUCCAAUGCUAAGGAGCACUGCGACCAGGAACAGGUCUUUCUCCUCUGUUUCACAGCUGGGAGGCCAGAAACAGCACAUGGUCAGCAGGGAGCAUAGAGCCUGAGCCGGGGACUGGUCCAGCAUGAAGAGCUCAGCUAAAGUGGUGAGAUACUGACUUUGGCCAGGGUCCUCACUCUUCACCGUCAGGUCCAAAACCGGUACACCAACAGCCAUUGCCGGACUGGACACCCCUGAUGGGGUCAUUUCAACAAAAUCUGGGCCAUGGUUCCUUCUUGUAGUUCGUUUUCUCCUUUUUUGUUUAAUUUCUAUCUCAAAUGCUGGUUUUCCACAGAAAGGACAGACAGGCAUUAACUGCAUUGCCGACAGUAAACCCAGAUUAUUAGCCUGCUCACAGCCAGAUGGCUGGCGGCUGAUGGGCUUAGUCAUAACACACCUCCCUGAGUUGCAGCUCCACCAAAAACAGACCCGCACAAGUAUUCAAAGCAGAUUCUCCAAAGUUAAGAGAAGGGACGACGGUAGCUGCAAGCUAGA